rnacentral:pre_miRNA from 1 species
CAUAUACUCCCUCCGUCCCAUUUUAAGUGACGGAAUAUUACAUGUAUCUACACGCUUAUUAGUUAUAGAUACAUCUAUAUUUGGGCAAAUCUGAGUCGGUUAAUAUGAGACGGAGGGAGUAGCAA